ensembl:lncRNA
CAACAUUCAUACACACACAUAUACAUAUAUAUGUAUAUAUAUUAUAUAUAUGUAUACACACACGUACACACACACACACACACACACACACACACACACACACACACACACACACCUGACCUGCAAAUCUGGAACUACCUUUCUGCCACUCCAGGUCCAGGGCCUGCUUACUUACUAUAUGAGCACAGUGUGGGACCCUCAGCUGCUACCUCAGAACCUCCUCUCUUCUAUUCAUCAGCUCAGCCAUGACUGCGUCAUUCUUUACACUAAUCUACAUAGGUUUUUGGUAGAAGGCAAUUUAAUUAAUCAAAAACUUUUAGACAAACAUCAUUUUUCUAGGUUUAUUGUUCAUCAAAGAAAAUCUUGAUUAUUUUGAAAAGGGAGGCUGCUGUCUGAAUCAAUCAAACAAUUUUAACACCCACAAACCCAAGCUAAUAAUGAUGUUAAAAAUGUCUCAAAGGAAGAGCUCACUAAAUUAGUGCCGGGGGACGGGGGGAAAGACAACUGGGAAUUAAUAAAAUACCUUAAUUAAAAUAUGAGUUAAAAAGAGAAAGUCAUUAUCUUUUUUGAUAUUUGAUGCAUUGAUUAAUCAAACUCCAACAUGCGGAGGAUAUAAUGACUUGAACUGGGCAAAAAUAGAACCACAUAGUAGAGCCAUUGGCUCUAUUCCAGCAAAUAGACAAGGCCAUUAAUUAUCCAUUGACAUGUGGGUCAGGGUGUUACUGUGCUUUGGAAAGGAACUGUUACUAUGAACUGCUGAACACUCCUUGUCAAUCUCUUGUUGCCAUAUAUUUGGGGCUAAGUCUUUAUAAAUUGCACAGAGAUAAUGAACACUUUACUGCUUACAGCUACUGAAUUACUGGGAAUAGAAGGCCUGAAGUCAUAUUAGAUAGUUGCUAUAGCUUAGAUGCGUAAGGGAACUUGUCCUCAGUGUGUCAGUACUGAGGUAAUGAAAUCCUGAAUGCAAGGCACAGUGUGAGGUGGAUUACUAGGGGCUCUACCCUUGGGAAGGCUGGAUGCUACUUUUGAAGAGUUAGUUCUCAACAGUGUGGGCUGUUACAAAGCAGCUGCAUGUCUGGCUUCAGCCAUGGACUCCAGUGGACUCCCUUUUAGAAGUUGAACAUGUGGGGCCACCUAAUCUUGGAUUGUCAACUCACAAAACUGUGAGCAAAAUGAAUCUCCUUCCUUGGGAAAUAGUCGGGAUCGUGUAUUGGUGCAGCAUAAAUGGACUAAUGCAGUAGUCAGAAUCGAGCAGUGACUAAAGGGAGGUCAGCUGAGUAUGGCUACUUCUAUGCAAGCAAAUCACAUUUGUUUAGACUCAUUUAUGUCUCACUUCAAACUCAGACUUCAAAAUAUGGGACCUAAAAUAAUUAUAAUGUGAAAUGUGGCAUUUACUUAUUUUGGGUUUAGUAAAGCACUUAGUGCUGUGUCCAAUAUGUUUCUAGAUCAGCCAAAAUAACAUCUGUCAAGCAAAAGCUUAAAUAAACUGUAAAUAAUCUUGUAGAAAGGAAAAGUGCCUUAGAAAUUCAAAUGUAUCAGAUAGCUAUUCUUUAUUGCAAAUUCUCUUACUCGUUUUACAUACAAGGCACAGACUACAUUGUAUACACAGAUGUAUAUCAUAGUAUUAAAAUCUCACUGGGGUGAAUCUAGUAGGGAAGAAUGGCUUCACAAGUUCCUUGUGAAUUGAUAAAAACUAAUGUAGGAUCAAACGAUGAAGGAAUGUUUGGUCAAGGGAGGGGCAAAGACUGUCACUCAGCCUGGGAUGGGGAGGAAGCAUGGAAAUUGGUAACUGCAAAUUAAUCUUCUCAACACAUGCAGGGCUGGAGUUUUACCUUUGUCUAAUGCUAGUUUUUACUUUCUUUUCUACUUUCUGGAGUCUUCUCACAAGUAAUUGGCUCAUGGAAAGCUCCUUCCUGGUUUUGCAUAUUCAUUUUAAAUCCAUUUAUUUGAAGCGCUCUCAUUUAUUUGUAGCUGCUUGGGGGAGGCUGAAGUUUAUGUUACCAUUUGGAAGUGAAAAGUGUUCAUGUAGACACAGGUCCUUCCUACUCCCUUUGAAAAAGAGGUACAGCCUGAGAAGAAGACAAAGAACCAGAAAAUCAAUGGGAGGUGUAUGCAGCAGGUAAAACUAAGCACAGAAGCACUGACACUUGCACUCUAAGGUGCCAUGUGAGGGGGAUGGUUGUGAUGCUUAAUUAGAUGGUUUGAAUGAAAAUGGCUCAUAGGGAGGGGCACUAUUAGGAGGUGUCUCCUUGUUUGAGGAAGUGUAGCCUUGUUGGAAAAAUAUGUCACUGGUGACAAUCUCUCUCUCUCUCUCUCUCUCUCUCUCUCUCUCUCUCUCUCUCUCUCUCUCUCUCUCUCUCUGUCUGUCUGUCUUCCUGUUGCUCUCAAUCCAGAUGUAGAACUCUUGGCUCCAGCAUCAUGUCUGGCUACAUGCUACCACCAUGACAAUGAACCAACCCUCUCAACCUGUAAGCCAGCCCCAAUGAAAUGUUUUCCCUUAUAAGAGUUGCCGUGGUCAUGGUGUCUCUUCACAGCAAUAAAACCCAAAAGUUUACAACCAUCCCUGGUGGAGCUGGCCCAUGACAAGCUAAGUAUCUGUCUUAAUGAUCAAAAAAGGGCACAGGGGCAGGAGUGGGAGGAGUGGGCUCUUUCCCUCUUCUAUGUCCACCUCAGGGCAAUGUAUCUGGGCUAGGAUUCCAAGGAAAACUACAAACCCAAUUUCUAUCGUUAGAAAGUGAGUAAAGUAGGUACAGAAGCUGUCUUGAUGAGAGAGAGAGAGGCAGGGGGAUGGGAGUGUAAAGGAGGAGGAGUGGAUGGAAGUGAAAGAAGAUAAACUCUGAGAAGUGAAGAGCUGAGCCAUCCAAAGGAGGGCACCAGAGAGAAGUCACAAGGAGAGUAAGGGAGAAGGGAGGGCCUAGCUUCCAGGCAAGAGUCACACACAGGUCACUUGGAUAGGAGAAGAGUAGAUGCUUCUUGUUUUUAAAUUAUGAUUUAUUCUUUCUAUCCCUCCAGAAGAACUUAGCGCGACUAGGAAAGAAAGGGGCAGGAACAUUCCAGAACUGCUUUCAGAGAAAAUGUUUAAUUUCUACUUUUUAUUCUGCCCCCAGUGAUA